rnacentral:rRNA from 1 species
AGACGAACCGUCCGAACGUUAUUCGGAAUCACUGGGCUUAAAGGGUGCGUAGGCGGUCAUGCAAGUUGGGUGUGAAAUCCCCCGGCUCAACCGGGGAACUGCGCUCAAAACUGCAUGACUUGAGGGAGUCAGAGGUGAGCGGAACUUAGGGUGGAGCGGUGAAAUGCGUUGAUAUCCUAAGGAACACCAGUUGCGAAAGCGGCUCACUGGGUCUUUUCUGACGCUGAGGCACGAAAGCUAGGGGAGCGAAGAGGAUUAGAUACCCUCGUAGUCCUAGCCGUAAACGAUGAGCACUUGGUCGGAGAAUCCUCCAUAGUUUUCCGGCCGUAGCGAAAGUGGUAAGUGCUCCGCCUGGGGAGUAUGGUCGCAAGGCUGAA